rnacentral:rRNA from 1 species
AUGGAGCUCUCCCGUUUGUUUGGAUUUUGGGCCGUCGGAUUGGGUGUCCAAACGAGUUCUGGUCGUUGGAUCGUGAGAUGGAUCGAUGUCGGCCGUUGGAUCUCAGACGAAACGAUACGGUCGUCGGAUCGAGGCUGGGCAUGCCACCGCCUAUGGGCUCACCUGUGGAGACUCAGCCGCUGCCUCCGCCCGCACUCGCGCCGCUCGAACCCUAGCCGCCAUCCCCGUCGCCCCCCUCCCCCCGCAUCUCCCCCCGCCGCCGGCGACCCCCUCCUCUCCCUCGACUCCAGCCCCGCUCCUCCUCUCCAUCGACUCCAGCCCGCCGCUGCGGAGACGCGCACCGACCGCACUCGCUCUCUCUCCGACCCGAGCCGCUGCAACUCCUCUGCGCCUUCCUCCUCCAAACAAGAUCGCCCGCAGCCCUCCCUUGUGGCCCUGUCGAUCCAGUGGAUAAGGAGACCCCUCACCUUGCCGCGCGCCGCGGAGAUUGCGCCCCUCCCCUCCUCGCUCCGGCAGGCGGCAGCGCAUGCCCGGCGAGACGGGCUGACAGUGGCGCAGUCAGCGAUGCGGUUCACGGCGGGGGCCUCGUCGACGCGGUCGUGGCAGCCCAUGCCGACGGCGGACACCACGGACCUGCGCUUCUGGCUGCGCUGGCGGGUGGCCGUGUGCACGCUCUGGGUGCUCUGCUGCGUCGCCGCCGCGGCCUACCUCAUCUGGCGCCACGAGGGGCCGCGCGCGCACCGCCGCAUCGGAGCCGCCAAGCAGGACGCGGCCGCGCAAGGGCGGCGACGGCCGGACGAGCUGCUGUACGACGACGAGGCGUGGCGGCCCUGCCUCCGGGACAUCCACCCGGCCUGGCUGCUCGUCUACAGGCUCGUCUCCUUCGUCCUCUUCAGCCUCCUCAUCGUCAUCUCCGACGGCGGCAACAUCUUCCUCUCCACAUGCCUCAUCGUCGACCACCCUGCUGGCAGCCUGGCACAUUCUUCUGGGCCUCUUCCCCGGCGCUCGAGGUACAGCAGUGGCGGCACCGCUCCUCCUCACAGGUAUGGCCGCAUCUGCCUGUGCUCGGCAGAAGGAGGAGGCCGUGGUCAUGGCGACAUGCGGCACCCAUUUGUCGAGGCGGAGCCAAGUCUAAACUGUAGCCAGAGGAAGGCAGGAUUCUACUUGUUUGAUGUUCUGAUCAGGGUGGAGGAGCAUAUAGGUGAGGUGAGCAGGAGUGAUCUUGGGCAUACAAGUGCAGACCUAUUACAGUUCGAUGCCCUGUCGCUGAAUACCACACCUCCUACACUUCAAUCAUCUGAUAGAUUUUGUUGGAUGCAUUUGACCAUCAAGAAUCAGUAUUGGCAGCAAAGUGGUUUGUUCUCUGAAUUUGUUUUGCAAGUCAGUACCAGAGGUUGCCGCGUGAUUGCGCAUGACAUGUGGCAGUAUCUAUCAUUCAUUUAUUGCUGCUUACAGAACCAUCUUUUAUUGCAAAUCAGUUCAGCAAGAUCUUGUGCCUACGGGUUUAUCCGGAGGUUUCCGACUUCAUGCGUGUUGAGACUUGAUUCAGCCUUAUUUCUGUAUCCAAAAGCAAAACAUGCCCGGUUCCGCUUGGGCUAUCUAAAACCACCCCUCUGGUCUGAAACACAUGUAUAUGUUCAAAGUGACACGGAGCUGAUUGAUGAUAGCAACUAUAUCUGGACAUACACAUCUAUGGAAUUUCGAAUGUUGCAGGAAAAUGUGAUGCAGUCUUUUAAGCUACCACACUCAGUUCUAUGUAUUGGUGGAGUGGUAAAGAUUGAGCUUCUUGGGAGGGUCCACAAGGACACGUUUGAUGGUCUGUACUACAUAUUAAAUAAUAUGCUCGCAGGUCACUGUAUGUCGUGUCUCUCUCUGACCGCCCCUCCUCCCAUUGACUUCGCAUCCUGGUCACCACCGUAUCUCCUGCUGGCUCGCCCCUCGCCAUCGUCUGGAGGGUUGUGUCACCACCAUGCCGCCUCUCUCUCUGACCGCACCUCCCAUCGUCUUGGUUUGCUGGUUGCCGUUAUGUCUCCCUUUGGUUCGCCCAUCACCAUCGCUCGAGCUGGGAAUCCUCCUCUCUGCUCCUUGCCCCCCGCCAAGAGCCUCGAUUGCAUCUGGACCCCGAGCUCUCCGUGCUCGCAUCGCCUCUGUGUGAAUCGUCGCAUCGUCAGGGGGAGAGGAAGCUGGCACUGCUUAUCCCCAAGGAGUGUGCCAUCGACGGUAGGAGGCCAGGCGGGGCGACGGGAGGAGUCCAAGCAAAUUGACAGGAGGAGGCCAGGCAGAGCACGUCAUCGCCACCGGCUGGCGCAUCGAUGGGACUCCGACAUGCUUAGGGGGCUCGACCAAGUCGGAGGCCAGGCGGUGUGCGUGGUCGUGGAGCGCCAGCCGCAGGCGCUUGAUAUGGUUCUCCCCUUGUCACGCCUCCUUUCGCUGCAGGUGCUUGCUGAUAGCUCCUCCUCCUCCAUUGUCGGGAGGGGCAUGGCUGCAGUUCUGCAGUUCUACUAUAGGGUGGACAAGCUCAACGCUUCUUCUGCAGGCUACCCUGACAAUGAUUUAAUCAAGAGAGACCUCGUACCUAGCGAACGUUCGUCAAGGGAGGUGGCACAUGUGAACGGUCGCAUGGCAGUUUUAGUUGAGAGGAGAGGUGGCAAGAAAAAAGUUGAGGGAGAUGUUUGGUGCCAUGUGGCCACGCGCGUGGCUGGUCUAAACACCGUGCGCGACGUGGCCACGAUCGAUGCCCUCGAUGAUCUGUUUAGUGUUACGUGGCACUCCGAAUGCGGCAGGUGCACCCCAUUUAACCCGAUCAACGUGAGCAUUGAUGACCACGUGUCCACUUGA